rnacentral:tRNA from 2 species
GCUCCUGUGGCGGAAUUGGAAGACGCGGUCGGCUUAAACCCGAUUAUUAAAUUGUGGGUUCGAUUCCCACCAGGAGUA